rnacentral:rRNA from 1 species
UACGGGAGGCAGCAGUGGGGAAUAUUGCACAAUGGGCGCAAGCCUGAUGCAGCCAUGCCGCGUGUAUGAAGAAGGGCCUUCGGGUUGUAAAGUACUUUCAGUCGUGAGGAAGGUGUUAAGGUUAAUAACCUUAGCAAUUGACGUUAGCGACAGAAGAAGCACCGGCUAACUCCGUGCCAGCAGCCGCGGUAAUACGGAGGGUGCGAGCGUUAAUCGGAAUUACUGGGCGUUAAAGGGCACGCAGGCAGUUAAUUAAGUUGGAUGUGAAAUCCCCGGGCUUAACCUGGGAAUGGCAUUCAAGACUGGUUAGCUAGAGUCUUGUAGAGGGGGUAGAAUUCCAUGUGUAGCGGUGAAUGCGUAGAGAUGUGGAGGAAUACCGGUGGCGAAGGCGGCCCCUGGGACAAAGACUGACGCUCAUGUGCGAAAGCGUGGGGAGCAAACGAGGAUUAGGAUACC